rnacentral:rRNA from 1 species
UACGUAGGUGGCAAGCGUUGUCCGGAUUUACUGGGCGUAAAGGGCGUGCAGGCGGUUUGUUAAGUGCAGGGUGAAAGCUCCCGGCUCAACUGGGCGCGGUCGGUGGAAACUGGUCAACUGGAGGACGGUAGAGGCGAGUGGAAUUCCCGGUGUAGUGGUGAAAUGCGUAGAGAUCGGGAGGAACACCAAUAGCGAAGGCAGCUCGCUGGGACGGUACUGACGCUGAGGCGCGAAAGCGUGGGGAGCAAACAGG